rnacentral:piRNA from 1 species
UAGCCAGGUCAGCCAUGGUGAGUGGA